rnacentral:tRNA from 2 species
GGAAUGUAACUCAGUGGUAGAGUAUUUGCCUAGCACACAUGAGGCCCUGGGUUCAAUUCCCAGCACCA